rnacentral:rRNA from 1 species
AGGACGAACGCUGGCGGCGUGCUUAACACAUGCAAGUCGAGCGGAAAGGCCCUUCGGGGUACUCGAGCGGCGAACGGGUGAGUAACACGUGAGCAACCUGCCCUUAGCUUCGGGAUAGCUCCGGGAAACCGGAAUUAAUACCGAAUAUGACCAAGGCCGACAUCAGCCUUGGUGGAAAGUUUUUCGGCUAGGGAUGGACUCGCGGCCUAUCAGCUAGUUGGUGAGGUAACGGCUCACCAAGGCGACGACGCGUAGCCGGACUGAGAGGUCGGCCGGCCACAUCGGGACUGAGACACUGCCCGGACUCCUACGGGGGGCUGCAGUAACGAAUCUUCCCCAAUGCACGAAAGUGUGAGGGAGCGACGCCGCGUGGAGGAUGAAGUCCUUCGGGAUGUAAACUCCUGUCAGGGGUUAGAAAGUUCUGAUCAACCCCAGAGGAAGGCACGGCUAACUCUGUGCCAGCAGCCGC